UUUCUUGUAAUGCCCGGUCUUCUUGCAGUGGAGGCAUGUAUCUUUAUCCACUGGAAAAGGCUUUUGCUAAUGCUGAUG